GAUGAACGCUGGCGGCGUGCUUAACACAUGCAAGUCGAACGAUGAAGCCCAGCUUGCUGGGUGUAUUAGUGGCGAACGGGUGAGUAACACGUGAGUAACCUGCCCUUGACUCUGGGAUAAGCCUGGGAAACUGGGUCUAAUACUGGAUAUGACUUCUCAUCGCAUGGUGGGGGGUGGAAAGAUUUAUUGGUCUUGGAUGGACUCGCGGCCUAUCAGCUUGUUGGUGAGGUAAUGGCUCACCAAGGCGACGACGGGUAGCCGGCCUGAGAGGGUGACCGGCCACACUGGGACUGAGACACGGCCCAGACUCCUACGGGAGGCAGCAGUGGGGAAUAUUGCACAAUGGGCGCAAGCCUGAUGCAGCGACGCCGGGUGAGGGAUGACGGCCUUCGGGUUGUAAACCUCUUUCAGUAGGGAAGAAGCGGGAGUGACGGUACCUGCAGAAGAAGCGACGGCUAACUACGUG
rnacentral:rRNA from 1 species